GACGAACGCUGGCGGCGUGCUUAACACAUGCAAGUCGAACGAUGAAGCACCAGCUUGCUGGUGUGGAUUAGUGGCGAACGGGUGAGUAACACGUGAGUAACCUGCCCCUCACUCUGGGAUAAGCCUGGGAAACUGGGUCUAAUACUGGAUACGACCGAUCUCCGCAUGGAGUGUUGGUGGAAAGUUUUUGUGGUGGGGGAUGGACUCGCGGCCUAUCAGAUUGUUGGUGGGGUAAUGGCCUACCAAGGCGACGACGGGUAGCCGGCCUGAGAGGGCGACCGGCCACACUGGGACUGAGACACGGCCCAGACUCCUACGGGAGGCAGCAGUGGGGAAUAUUGCACAAUGGGCGAAAGCCUGAUGCAGCGACGCCGCGUGAGGGAUGACGGCCUUCGGGUUGUAAACCUCUUUCACCAGGGACGAAGCUAACGUGACGGUACCUGGAGAAGAAGCACCGGCUAACUACGUG
rnacentral:rRNA from 1 species